rnacentral:rRNA from 1 species
UACAGAGGGUGCAAGCGUUGUUCGGAAUCAUUGGGCGUAAAGCGCGCGUAGGCGGCCCUUCAAGUCUAAUGUGAAAUCCCUGGGCUCAACUCAGGAAGUGCAUUGGAUACUGGUGGGCUUGAGUCCUGGAGAGGGUGGUAGAAUUCCCAGUGUAGAGGUGAAAUUCGUAGAUAUUGGGAGGAAUACCAGUGGCGAAGGCGACCACCUGGACGGAGACUGACGCUGAGGCGCGAAAGCGUGGGGAGCAAACAGG